GAUGAACGCUGGCGGCGUGCCUAAUACAUGCAAGUCGAGCGAACAGACGAGGAGCUUGCUCCUCUGACGUUAGCGGCGGACGGGUGAGUAACACGUGGAUAACCUACCUAUAAGACUGGGAUAACUUCGGGAAACCGGAGCUAAUACCGGAUAAUAUAUUGAACCGCAUGGUUCAAUAGUGAAAGACGGUUUUGCUGUCACUUAUAGAUGGAUCCGCGCCGCAUUAGCUAGUUGGUAAGGUAACGGCUUACCAAGGCAACGAUGCGUAGCCGACCUGAGAGGGUGAUCGGCCACACUGGAACUGAGACACGGUCCAGACUCCUACGGGAGGCAGCAGUAGGGAAUCUUCCGCAAUGGGCGAGAGCCUGACGGAGCAACGCCGCGUGAGUGAUGAAGGUCUUCGGAUCGUAAAACUCUGUUAUUGGGGAAGAACAAAUGUGUAAGUAACUAUGCACGUCUUGACGGUACCUAAUCAGAAAGCCACGGCUAACUACGUG
rnacentral:rRNA from 1 species